rnacentral:rRNA from 1 species
UGCAAGUCGAGCGAACAGACGAGGAGCUUGCUCCUCUGACGUUAGCGGCGGACGGGUGAGUAACACGUGGAUAACCUACCUAUAAGACUGGGAUAACUUCGGGAAACCGGAGCUAAUACCGGAUAAUAUAUUGAACCGCAUGGUUCAAUAGUGAAAGACGGUUUUGCUGUCACUUAUAGAUGGAUCCGCGCCGCAUUAGCUAGUUGGUAAGGUAACGGCUUACCAAGGCAACGGUACGUAGCCGACCUGAGAGGGUGAUCGGCCACACUGGAACUGAGACACGGUCCAGACUCCUACGGGAGGCAGCAGUAGGGAAUCUUCCGCAAUGGGCGAAAGCCUGACGGAGCAACGCCGCGUGAGUGAUGAAGGUCUUCGGAUCGUAAAACUCUGUUAUUAGGGAAGAACAAAUGUGUAAGUAACUAUGCACGUCUUGACGGUACCUAAUCAGAAAGCCACGGCUAACUACGUGCCAGCAGCCGCGGUAAUACGUAGGUGGCAAGCGUUAUCCGGAAUUAUUGGGCGUAAAGCGCGCGUAGGCGGUUUUUUAAGUCUGAUGUGAAAGCCCACGGCUCAACCGUGGAGGGUCAUUGGAAACUGGAAAACUUGAGUGCAGAAGAGGAAAGUGGAAUUCCAUGUGUAGCGGUGAAAUGCGCAGAGAUAUGGAGGAACACCAGUGGCGAAGGCGACUUUCUGGUCUGUAAC